UUAAGUUCAGCGGGUAUUCCUACCUGAUCCGAGGUCAACCUUGAUAAAUUGGGGUGUUUUACGGCAAGGGACCGGUCCAGCUAUAGGCGAUGUGUAAAACUUACUACGUCUAGAGUGUGAACCGACUCCGCCACUAACUUUAGGGAGCUACAGCGCACCGUAGGCUCCUAACGCUAAGCAACAAGGGGCUUAAGGGUUGA
rnacentral:misc_RNA from 1 species